rnacentral:snRNA from 1 species
AUAUUUAUUUUCAAAGCGUAAAAAUCUUUCACGUUUUACUAAAGAUUCCCAUGGAGAGGAACAACCCUGAGUCUUUAAGCAAUUUUUUGAGGCCUUGCAUUUGCAGGGCU